AAACUCCUACGGGAGGCAGCAGUGGGGAAUAUUGCACAAUGGGCGAAAGCCUGAUGCAGCAACGCCGCGUGAGUGAUGAAGGCCUUCGGGUCGUAAAACCCUGUCCUCAAGGAAGAUAAUGACGGUACUUGAGGAGGAAGCCCCGGCUAACUACGUGCCAGCAGCCGCGGUAAUACGUAGGGGGCUAGCGUUAUCCGGAUU
rnacentral:rRNA from 1 species